CAGACACAUUCUCUGUAGCUCUUACCAAAGAGCUGCAUGCCCACCACGGCAAAAAUGAAGACAAUGAUGGCCAACACCAAGCACUUUUAGAGCUCAGUUUGGAUGUUUCAGAAGAACUCUCUGAGAGGCCCGUAAUUCUGCUUCUCCCAAUACUUGUAUAUUCAGCAACUGCUGCUGCUAUUGCCUAUUGAGCCAAGACGUUACACAUACAUGAGUCAUUUCAAAAAUCUGGAAAGCCCUAUGAUGAAGCACAUCUUGCCCACCAAUGUAACAACACUGUACGUAUGAUCAUGCCCCUUCAAAAUGAAAUGAUACUUUUCUCUGCAUUAUGAUCAGAAUGCUUACCAUACGUAUGUUUGCUUCCUUUCCCACAUUGUAAUAAAGCAGCACUGUGCUUUGGAAUUAAACUAUUACAUGUUACUAUUUGUUUAAAAUAAAGAAAAUUUAAAUAUUA